UACGAAGGGGGCUAGCGUUGCUCGGAAUCACUGGGCGUAAAGCGCACGUAGGCGGAUUGCUAAGUCAGGGGUGAAAUCCUGGAGCUCAACUCCAGAACUGCCUUUGAUACUGGCGAUCUUGAGUCCGGGAGAGGUGAGUGGAACUGCGAGUGUAGAGGUGAAAUUCGUAGAUAUUCGCAAGAACACCAGUGGCGAAGGCGGCUCACUGGCCCGGUACUGACGCUGAGGUGCGAAAGCG
rnacentral:rRNA from 1 species